CCGGAGCUUGCUCCGGUGAAAGUGGCGCACGGGUGAGUAACGCGUGGAUAAUCUGCCCUGGUAUCUGGGAUAACAUCUCGAAAGGGGUGCUAAUACCGGAUAAGCCUACGGACUCUUCGGAGUCUGCAGGAAAAGGUGGCCUCUAUUUAUAAGCUACCGUAUCAGGAUGAGUCCGCGUACCAUUAGCUAGUUGGUGGGGUAAUGGCCCACCAAGGCUACGAUGGUUAGCUGGUCUGAGAGGAUGAUCAGCCACACUGGAACUGAGACACGGUCCAGACUCCUACGGGAGGCAGCAGUGGGGAAUUUUGCGCAAUGGGGGAAACCCUGACGCAGCAACGCCGCGUGAGUGAUGAAGGCUUUCGGGUCGUAAAGCUCUGUCAGAGGGGAAGAAAUGAGUCUGGCUAAUAUCCAGAUUUCUUGACGGUACCCUCAAAGGAAGCACCGGCUAACUCCGUGCCAGCAGCCGCGGUAAUAC
rnacentral:rRNA from 1 species